rnacentral:rRNA from 1 species
UACGAAGGGUGCAAACGUUGCUCGGAAUCAUUGGGCGUAAAGCGCACGUAGGCGGCUUGCCAAGUCGGACGUGAAAUCCCUCAGCUCAACUGAGGACGUGCAUCCGAAACUGGCGAGCUUGAGUGCUGACGAGGAUCGCGGAAUUCCCGGUGUAGAGGUGAAAUGCGUAGAUAUCAAGAGGAACACCUGAGGUGAAGACGGGUUGCUGGGCCGACACUGACGCUGAUAGCGCGAAAGCCAGGGGAGCAAACGGG